UACAGAGGUCUCAAGCGUUGUUCGGAUUCAUUGGGCGUAAAGGGUGCGUAGGCGGCGCCGUAAGUCAGGUGUGAAAUUUCGGAGCUUAACUCCGAAACUGCAUUUGAUACUGCGGUGCUUGAGGACUGGAGAGGAGACUGGAAUUUACGGUGUAGCAGUGAAAUGCGUAGAGAUCGUAAGGAAGACCAGUGGCGAAGGCGGGUCUCUGGACAGUUCCUGACGCUGAGGCACGAAGGCCAGGGGAGUAAACGGG
rnacentral:rRNA from 1 species